rnacentral:ncRNA from 2 species
AAGUUGCACCAGGGGUGCCUGCAUUCUCAACAAUGUGAAGGCUUCUUGGCCUUGACUGUUGUGAGAUGGGCUGAGAAAGUCCCUUUGAACCUGAACAGGAUAAUGCCUGCGAAGGGAGUGUGCAUUUCUUUUUUC